UGUUGCUUCAUCUUGAUAGUUCCGGUUACGUUGUGAUUGUGAGGAUUCGUUGACUAUGUUGGUUCAUCUACUUCAUGGACUCGAUAUUCUUCCGAGUGGGAUUUCAGGCAAAAUGAUCAUUACCCUGGAUACCACUACUGAUGCAGAGCAUCCUUCCAUCAUCCCCAUGGACUCUACACCAAUGCAUCAAGCACCACGUGGACCUAUGACAAGAGCUCGAGCAUGCGCCAUUGAAACCGAGGUGAACUCACUCCUACUCGAGAUAGAUAUGGAGAUGAAUGGAACUUGGUUGCUACCUCACCGAAAUAUGCUAUGUGUCAUUAGGUACGAGGACGAACUCCGACAAGAGGUUAAGGAGUACCCCCAAGGCCUAAGAGAAGGACCCCAAGACCCAAGAGCUGACCGGAAGUGUCAAGAUGAAGAAAAGGAAGCGUGCAAAAAUUGCACUACCGGACAGUCCGGUCCCCACAUCAGACAAUCCGGUCGCACAGAAAUUGCACUACCGGACAGUCCAGUGGCACCCGAAAAUGCAUCUGUCCUCACCGCACUAUCCGGUCCUUACCACCGGACUGUCUGGUAGGCCCAGUUUCACUACAAAUUGGCCUAAAAAGCUCGUGUAACCAUCGAGGCCCAUACCCUUUUGCCCCUAGACUAUAUAUUUCGUUCUCCUCUUAGUUUCUAGAGUUAGCAAAGUAUUUUGAUAGACAAAGAGAGAGCUUUGCUCAUAUUCCUCCUCUUGGAGAUCAAGGCCUCGUCUUGGAGAUCAAGCCCUCCUAUUGGAGAAUGAUUCCCAUCAUAGGAUCAUCAAGACCUCACCUCCCUUAGGAGUGGGAAGAAAUUACCUUACUGCUAUUUUCCUUGGAUUGAUUUUGUAUGCUUGUAGAUCUCUUAUAUGCUACUCUAGUGGAUGUGUGAUUGUGGUUUGUUUGAGUGUUUCCUCUCUUGUAUUCUUGAUCUUUUCCCCCUCCAAGUGUGAAAAUAUCCUCCCCUAGGGUUUCACCCUACAACAUCUUGGUAUCAUGAG
rnacentral:rRNA from 1 species